GUGGGGAAUAUUGGACAAUGGGCGAAAGCCUGACGCAGCCAUGCCGCGUGAAUGAUGAAGGUCUUAGGAUUGUAAAAUUCUUUCACCGGGGACGAUAAUGACGGUACCCGGAGAAGAAGCCCCGGCUAACUUCGUGCCAGCAGCCGCGGUAAUACGAAGGGGGCUAGCGUUGCUCGGAAUUACUGGGCGUCAAGGGCGCGUAGGCGGACAGUUUAGUCAGAGGUGAAAGCCCAGGGCUCAACCUUGGAAUUGCCUUUGAUACUGGCUGUCUUGAGUACGAGAGAGGUGAGGGGAACUCCGAGUGUAGAGGUGAAAUUCGUAGAUAUUCGGAAGAACACCAGUGGCGAAGGCGACUCACUGGCCCGUUACUGACGCUGAGGCGCGAAAGCGUGGGGAGCAAACAGGAUUAGAAACCCUAGUAGUCC
rnacentral:rRNA from 1 species